UUACACAUGCAAGUCGAGCGGCAGCGCGGGGUAACCUGGCGGCGAGCGGCGAACGGGUGAGUAAUGCAUCGGAACGUAUCCCAGAGUGGGGGAUAACGCAGCGAAAGUUGCGCUAAUACCGCAUAAGCUCUGAGGAGGAAAGCGGGGGACCGAAAGGCCUCGCGCUGUGGGAGCGGCCGAUGUCCGAUUAGCUAGUUGGUGGGGUAAAGGCCCACCAAGGCGACGAUCGGUAGCUGGUCUGAGAGGAUGAUCAGCCACACUGGGACUGAGACACGGCCCAGACUCCUACGGGAGGCAGCAGUGGGGAAUUUUGGACAAUGGGGGAAACCCUGAUCCAGCCAUGCCGCGUGAGUGAAGAAGGCCUUCGGGUUGUAAAGCUCUUUCGGACGGAACGAAAUCGCUCGCGUGAAUAACGCGGGUGGAUGACGGUACUGUAAGAAGAAGCACCGGCUAACUACGUGCCAGCAGCCGCGGUAAUACGUAGGGACCUAGCGUAGUUCGGAAUUACUGGGCGUAAAGCGCGCGUAGGCCGUUGAGUUAGUUAAUUGUGAAAUCCCAAAGCUUAACUUUGGAACUGCAAUUAAAACUGCUCGACUAGAGUUUGAUAGAGGAAAGCGGAAUACAUAGUGUAGAGGUGAAAUUCGUAGAUAUUAUGUAGAACACCAGUUGCGAAGGCGGCUUUCUGGAUCAACACUGACGCUGAGGCGCGAAAGUAUGGGUAGCAAAGAGGAUUAGAUACCCUCGUAGUCCAUACCAUAAACGAUGAUUGCUAGAUGUUGGAAAUUUAUUUUCA
rnacentral:rRNA from 1 species